rnacentral:lncRNA from 1 species
CAAGGUUCAGUUGGGGUUUUCAUUUGUUGGACCGUGACCGUGAAAGAUCUCUCUCGUGGUAUUCGAAGAAAAACGAAACACUAGUUACUUCGCUUCGUUUUGUACAAUGGCGCAAGAGCAAUACUCAUCAACGCGACUAUCGAUGAUCGAUGCAGUACCUGUAUUUCUCGUUCUUCUAAUAGCAGCUCAUGUUCUCGGACUGGUAAUUUUUUUUCUUCACUUUUCAUUCUUCUCCUUAAUUCUUCUAUUCUUAAACCACCGCGUACUUAUCCGAUCCACCACAGGUAUUUUGGAUUUACAAAUUAGCAACUCAGAAACAGCCACUUCAGCGGCGAAAGGCUCACUAAAGAAGAAGGUUGGUGAUCCAUGAACCCUAAUUUAUCUCAGUCACUGUGUUUACUUGCAAUUUUAUAGGCGUUGUGGUUUUUAGCACUCACGAUUUGAACUAAAUUAAAUGGAUCGGUUUGAAGUUUAAAUUCAUGUAUUGCUGAGAUUUUAAAUUACUGUUUCAUGUAGUAGAACAGAAGCUUUUGAGUUUAACAAAUUUUUAGGUUUUUCUCCCUUUCCUUAUCCGUGCAGUUCUGGUAAACUAGUAAAUUUUUCUAGUAAUGCUCCCCCAAAAUAGUGUUCAAAAUAAUGCUCCCCCAAAAAUCAAAAAUAGAAACUAGUAAAUUUUUUAGCUGGUUAGUAAUUAGUAUUGUUAGUUUUUUGAUGUGGACUUCCUUAUCACUCCACUCCCUAUCUCAUUCACCCUAGCCACAGUUAGGUUGUAUUUCUAACCUACAAGUUUGUUAACUAAUACAAAUUUUGGUAGAUUUUUCUUGAUCUGUGUCUUUUUAUAGUUUUCCUAGCACAUAUAGGAUUGCAUGAGUAUGUCGAGAGCAGUAAAAUUGAUUAUCUGGUUCGCGAUCUUUGGUGUCUAUUACUUUUUACUUUUUAGGUUUGCAUGAGUAUGCAUUGUUUAAUGAUAUGAACUAUGAAGCAUACAUGAUGGAGUGAGUAUGAAGUUCAAUCUGUAGUUAUGUUAUUGACAUUAUGAACCAGUUUGAAAUAAGAUUUUAUGUUAUUUCAGAGAUCUUGCAAGUUGCAAAAAUAGCAGGAUAAGGAGUAUAUUCUGGGUAUGCAAGCCCUUAUCAUGAUAAAUGAAAAAAUUCUAUUGAAGAGAAGGAUAAAAAAUAACUCGUACAUUCAUGGGCAAUAAGUAUUAGUGUUUCAUCUUUAGGCACUGAGUACUAUUAAAGAUUUUCUUUUUCCAUGCAAUUCAAAAGCAGUGGUUUCUAUUGUCGUAAAACAAAAUAACCUCCAUAGAAACCGCAACCUAGUUCAGGCUUAGUCAUGUUAAAGCCGUGAUUGUUGAAGUUGUCGAUGAAGUCUAGCCAUCCUCCUUAUCAUGAUUUUUCCAAGCAACAUGUUGAUAGAAGAUGCCAAAGAUUGUUAGAAGUUAAAAGUUGAGAAAUACAAGUUGGCAGUGUUGCACUCAUCGAUUAUAUAAUGAGCUAUGAGUUUGCACUUAAUAAUAGUGUCAAAAUUGAGUUCGUUAAAUAUAUUUCUCUACAAUGAAGUUUGUCAAAAUAUUGUUAAUGAUCUGAUUGAUAGGUUUCUAACUUUUAUCGAGAAACUUAAUGUUACAUCUGUCUAUAUGAAACAUGCCCUGUAACAUUAAUAGUGCACUAACUGUCCAUUGCCCAACCAUAUCUUGGGAAUUUAGGUUAUGUUAUCCUCACAAUCAAAUGUCCUUUUGCUUGAUUUUUCAAUUUUCUUUCUGUGUGCAUGUUUUAAGACUUCGUGAAUCAACCUUGGAAAUACGGUGGCUGUUCAAAAGCUAAUACUAUGAAUAGUUAAAAGUUCAACAUCUUAUAAUUCUAUUUUCUUAUUUAAUACCUGUUCAUGCAUAUGAAAUGUAUGGUUUUGUUAUUCAUAUAAUUCUUUAGUUGAGUAUUAUGUUUAUUGGGAUUUAUUGUAGCCAGAUACUUUGCUCUUUGAAGUUCUUGACAAAAAUAAUGGUUUGGGUAUAAUCAAUUUUGGAAGAACAUUUGAGCAAAUAUGCAUCUUUGGGUGCGAAAUGUUCAAUGCUACUGUGUCUGAAAAUUUAAGCAGUUUUUGCCAAACUAAGGCUUCAACUUAAACCAAUUCUUGAUGCAAUUGUUGGUAUUAUUUACGACAAACAUCACUCAAAGUACUUCUUUAUAUCUCUUUUUUUGUGUGGGGGUAUUUCUUAUGGAUGUGAAUGCUUGUUUCAACUAUCACAGAUACAUAUCUGUAUGACAUUAGAUAUAUCUUAGAUUGCAAGUGCUAACUUGCCCAUCUCUAGUUAACUCCAGACCAGCUUAAAUUCUGUAUUGUGUAUUGUAUGCAUAGCUCAACUAGGGAAGCACUUAUCAGUUGUUGAAUUGAAUUCUGGGAACUGAAAUGACUUUCUAGCGAAGUAAUUUAUUCUAUUACAUUUGCAGGAAAAAGUUUGCAUCCUUGGAGAAAAGAAAUCUUGCUGCUGACUGCUUUGGGAAAUUGUCAAUGCUCUGAAAGUGGCUAGCUAUAAAAUAUUGUUCAUUUUCCUCCAGGUCUUGUGAGAUUGUUUGAAGUAGGAAUCUAUACUUAAAUUUAUAUUUGGUCAUUGCAUGUGUUACUUGUCAGUUGUCACUAGUUAUUUAUCAGUCAAUCUUCCUUUACAAAACUCAGACAGAAUUUGAGUCGAUGAAGUGCAUUAUUAGGGGUAAAAUUAAUAGUGCAAGUUGCUAUUCUGAUGCUUGUUAAUUUGUUGGUAUGCCUUGGGCUAUAUCAGUAUGUUUAAGAACAUAGUAGUAGCGUAUGUUUUCUGAUAGAAGAAUAUUGUAGUAGAAUAUUCACCUUAUUUACCAGAACAGGAUGAUAUGUUCUAUUAUUAUAAGGGUGCUGUUAACAUGUGCAUAUAGGGCACAUAUUAAGGUAUCUAUAAUUAGAAAUUUGCAUUUAAUAUUACAAACAAAUUUAAUGCUUAAAAGAUAUAAUAUACAUGUUUCGAGAGAAUAUUUCUAUAUUUGUAUUGUUAACAUGUGCCUUAGGUGCACAUGUUAACAUUUGCCUUAUUAUAAAUAGUAAAUUGUUAGAAAUAAUCAUCUAAGCAGUAAGUUAAAACAAAGGUUUAAUUAUUCUGAUUAAGGUUUGUAAAAUGUGACGAUUUGCUGUUAGUAAUGUUCAGUGUUUCAUCGUAAAUCAUCAAUUUUUGUUGAAUUGUUCUACUUCUUUCU